GACGAACGCUGGCGGCGUGCUUAACACAUGCAAGUCGAACGGAAGGGCCCUGCUUUUGUGGGGUGCUCGAGUGGCGAACGGGUGAGUAACACGUGAGUAACCUGCCCUUGACUUUGGGGUAACUUCAGGAAACUGGGGCUAAUACCGGAUAGGAGCUCCUGCUGCAUGGUGGGGGUUGGAAAGUUUCGGUGGUUGGGGAUGGACUCGCGGCUUAUCAGCUUGUUGGUGGGGUAGUGGCUUACCAAGGCUUUGACGGGUAGCCGGCCUGAGAGGGUGACCGGCCACAUUGGGACUGAGAUACGGCCCAGAGUGCUACGGGAGGCAGCAGGGGGGAGUAUUGCACAGUGAGCGGAAGCCUGAUGCGACAACGCCGCGUGCGGGAUGACGGCCUUCGGGUUGUAAACCGCUUUCGCCUGUGACGAAGCGUGAGUGACGGUAAUGGGUAAAGAAGCACCGGCUAACUACGUG
rnacentral:rRNA from 1 species